AAGUGGAUACUCGUAGAGGCCAGACACUUGUAUGGCUAAUAGAGAGCUUCAUCUCUUUCAGAUCCAGAUUUGAAGAAAGAGAUCGCGAAAAAGGUUUGUGAUUUGAUCACAAUUUAAAUUUUAACAUAUAUCAAUUUCAGCAUAUGAAAUAGAUCCAUAUGAUUUUAUAUUUUUAUGCAUGUAAAAUUUAGAUUAAAAUUAUUUUAAUCUUAUUCUCUACUAUAGUAUUUAAAAAAAUAAGUUUUAAAAUACAUAUGU
rnacentral:lncRNA from 1 species